GAACUUAAGCAUAUCAAUAAGCGGAGGAAAAGAAAAUAACAAUGAUUCCCCUAGUAACGGCGAGUGAAGAGGGAAAAGCCCAAAUUUGUAAUCUGGCAGUCUUUGAUUGUCCGAGUUGUAAUCUGGGGAGACUAUGUUCGUGUUGGGCCGUAGCAAAGUUUGCUUAACUGCAGCGCCAGAGAGGGUGCUAGCCCCGUUUGUACUACGGAUAACCAAUACAUAGAGCAAGUCUUCAAAGAGUCGAGUUGUUUGGGAAUGCAGCUCUAAUUGGGUGGUAAAUUCCAUCUAAGGCUAAAUAAUGGCGAGAGACCGAUAGCAAACAAGUACCGUGAGGGAAAGAUGAAAAGCACUUUGGAAAGAGAGUGAAACAGCACGUGAAAUCACUGAAAGGGAAACGAUUGAGGUUAGACGUGCGUGGUGCAAAUCAGCCAGAACAUUGUCUCUGGUGUAUUUUGUUGCCAAUGCAGGCCAGCAUCGGUUUUAUGGGCUGGAUAAGGGUAGAAGGAAAGUAGCAUUCACUUUAUGUGUUUGUGUUAUAGACUUCUACUUGAUACAGUGCACGAGACCGAGGAACGCAGCAUGCCUUUUGGCGUGGUCUUGAGGGACCAUAUGUGCUUAGGAUGCUGGCAUUAAUAGCCUUAAACGACCCGUCUUGAAACACGGACCAAGGAGUCUAACAUGCUUGCGAGUAUUUGGGUGUCAAACCCUUGUGCGGAAUGAAAGUAAACGUAGGUGGGAACCCCUUAAACAAGGGUGCACCAUCGACCAAUCCUGAUCUACGUGUGACGGAUUUGAGUAAGAGCAAGUAUGUCGGGACCCGAAA
rnacentral:rRNA from 1 species